AGGCUCAGGAUGAACGCUGGCGGCGUGCUUAACACAUGCAAGUCGAACGGUGAACACGGAGCUUGCUCUGUGGGAUCAGUGGCGAACGGGUGAGUAACACGUGAGCAACCUGCCCCUGACUCUGGGAUAAGCGCUGGAAACGGCGUCUAAUACUGGAUAUGUGACGUGACCGCAUGGUCUGCGUUUGGAAAGAUUUUUCGGUUGGGGAUGGGCUCGCGGCCUAUCAGCUUGUUGGUGAGGUAAUGGCUCACCAAGGCGUCGACGGGUAGCCGGCCUGAGAGGGUGACCGGCCACACUGGGACUGAGACACGGCCCAGACUCCUACGGGAGGCAGCAGUGGGGAAUAUUGCACAAUGGGCGAAAGCCUGAUGCAGCAACGCCGCGUGAGGGAUGACGGCCUUCGGGUUGUAAACCUCUUUUAGCAGGGAAGAAGCGAAAGUGACGGUACCUGCAGAAAAAGCGCCGGCUAACUACGUGCCAGCAGCCGCGGUAAUACGUAGGGCGCAAGCGUUAUCCGGAAUUAUUGGGCGUAAAGAGCUCGUAGGCGGUUUGUCGCGUCUGCUGUGAAAUCCCGAGGCUCAACCUCGGGCCUGCAGUGGGUACGGGCAGACUAGAGUGCGGUAGGGGAGAUUGGAAUUCCUGGUGUAGCGGUGGAAUGCGCAGAUAUCAGGAGGAACACCGAUGGCGAAGGCAGAUCUCUGGGCCGUAACUGACGCUGAGGAGCGAAAGGGUGGGGAGCAAACAGGCUUAGAUACCCUGGUAGUCCACCCCGUAAACGUUGGGAACUAGUUGUGGGGUCCAUUCCACGGAUUCCGUGACGCAGCUAACGCAUUAAGUUCCCCGCCUGGGGAGUACGGCCGCAAGGCUAAAACUCAAAGGAAUUGACGGGGACCCGCACAAGCGGCGGAGCAUGCGGAUUAAUUCGAUGCAACGCGAAGAACCUUACCAAGGCUUGACAUAUACGAGAACGGGCCAGAAAUGGUCAACUCUUUGGACACUCGUAAACAGGUGGUGCAUGGUUGUCGUCAGCUCGUGUCCUGAGAUGUUGGGUUAAGUCCCGCAACGAGCGCAACCCUCGUUCUAUGUUGCCAGCACGUAAUGGUGGGAACUCAUGGGAUACUGCCGGGGUCAACUCGGAAGAAGGUGGGGAUGACGUCAAAUCAUCAUGCCCCUUAUGUCUUGGGCUUCACGCAUGCUACAAUGGGCCGGUACAA
rnacentral:rRNA from 1 species